AUGCUUUCUUCAGCAACGUAUAUACUAAAAUUGGAGUGACACAGAGAAGAUUAGCAUGGCCCCUGCACAAGGAUGACACAGAAAUUCAUGAAGCAUUCCAUAAAAAA
ensembl:snRNA U6 U6 spliceosomal RNA